rnacentral:rRNA from 1 species
AUUGAACGCUGGCGGCAUGCCUUACACAAGCAAGUCGAACGGUAACAGGUCUUCGGAUGCUGACGAGUGGCGAACGGGUGAGUAAUACAUCGGAACGUGCCUAGUAGUGGGGGAUAACUACUCGAAGGAGUGGCUAAUACCGCAUGAGAUCUACGGAUGAAAGCAGGGGAUCGCAAGACCUUGUGCUACUAGAGCGGCCGAUGGCAGAUUAGGUUGUUGGUGGGAUAAAAGCUUACCAAGCCGACGAUCUGUAGCUGGUCUGAGAGGACGAUCAGCCACACUGGGACUGAGAAACGGCCCAGACUCCUACGGGAGGCAGCAGUGGGGAAUUUUGGACAAUGGGCGAAAGCCUGAUACAGCAAUGCCGCGUGCAGAAUGAAGGCCUUCGGGUUGUAAACUGCUUUUGUACGGAACGAAAAGCCCCGGGUUAAUACCCUGGGUUCAUGACGGUACCGUAAGAAUAAGCACCGGCUAACUACGUGCCAGCCGCCGCCGUAA